rnacentral:misc_RNA from 1 species
GGAGCGACGGUCGUGCACCGUUGGUGUCUAAUGCUCGGGCAAUGAUAAGAGGCCGCGAGACCUCAAUGCCCUCAGUGCUUUCCGUAUCCAAGAGCUCGAGCAAUGCCCCGUUCACCGCGACGACAUAGACGCGACGCGGGUAACGGGCCAUGCUGCGAGUUUCGUCUCGUGACCCGCCGGCCGAGCAACGGACCGCUAAACGAACGAGGGACGUUGGGACAAACGAAUGCCAUCGUGUAGGUACGCAACACA